rnacentral:SRP_RNA from 2 species
GCCAGGCGUGGUGGCGCUUGCCCGUAGUCCCAGCUACUUGGGAGGCUGAGACAGAAGAAUCGCUUGAACCCAGGAGGCAGAGGUUGCAGUGAGCCGAGAUCAUGCCACUGCACUCCAGCCUGGGCGACAAAGCGAGACUCUGUCUCAA